rnacentral:rRNA from 1 species
UCCAGACUCCUACGGGAGGCAGCAGUGGGGGAUAUUGGACAAUGGGGGGAACCCUGAUCCAGCGACGCCGCGUGAGUGAAGAAGUAUCUCGGUAUGUAAAGCUCUAUCAGCAGGGAAGAAAGAAAUGACGGUACCUGAGUAAGAAGCCCCGGCUAACUACGUGCCAGCAGCCGCGGUAAUACGUAGGGGGCAAGCGUUAUCCGGAAUUACUGGGUGUAAAGGGAGCGUAGACGGUGAAGUAAGUCUGGAGUGAAAGGCGGGGGCCCAACCCCCGGACUGCUUUGGGAACUGUACGGCUGGAGUGCAGGAGAGGUAAGUGGAAUUCCUAGUGUAGCGGUGAAAUGCGUAGAUAUUAGGAGGAACACCAGUGGCGAAGGCGGCUUACUGGACUGUAACUGACGUUGAGGCUCGAAAGCGUGGGGAGCAAACAGGAUUAGAUACCCGCGUAUG